ensembl:misc_RNA Metazoa_SRP Metazoan signal recognition particle RNA
GCUGGGUGUGGUGGCGCACACCUGUAAUCCCAGCUACUCGGGUGGCUGAGGCAGAAGAAUUGCUUGAACCCAGGAGGUGGAGGUGCCAGUGAGCCAAGAUCACGCCACUGCACUCCAGCCUGGGCAACAGAGGGAGACUCUGUCUCAA